AAUUUCGAUGGAAUAACUCCUUUAUCUUUUCUUUAUUUGACAUUUUUCAAUCAUGGUUUGGGUCAACACAAGGUCGCGGAAAGUAUAUUGCCUUUCAACCUUUAGAAAUAUAUUAAGUAAUUGAAAAAAAAGAAAAAGAAAGGAAUAUCGAUUAUUUUCUUCGCUAGUGCAAUCACGUGAAACAUAAUAUCCCCCCACCAUCAUCUCCAGAUUUCCCCAUCCCUGUCCAUCAAAUUCCUCGUUGAAGAAGCAGAAGAAGAAGCGUCAUACCUCAACAGCAUCCACAGAGAAAGAGAGAGAGAGAUGGAGCCACCUCCGACCCAGAACAUUAGCAAGAAUUACUCAGUGACAGAGGACGGACAGGACAAAGCCAUCAACGAGUGUUGCUCCUGCUGCUUUGACUGUUCGGACAGCUGCCUCGAUUACAUCUUCUGCAACCUUUGCUAGCGGGCUCGAGGCGACUGAUAUGGAAGACUUACCAUUCGUUCUGAUCUACGGUUUCUCUAAAUUAGCAAAAGAAUUGUAGAACUCGCUGAGAGAGAAAUGUGUUGCUAGUUAUUGGGUUCCCUCUCUCUGAACUGUUCUGUGAUGUUUGUGCAGCACUGGAUUUCAGUUAGAGAUUAAAUUUUUUUCCUGGCUUGUUAUCUGAUGCAAGAAAAUCUCUGUUCUGUGA